rnacentral:rRNA from 1 species
UACAGAGGGUGCAAGCGUUGUUCGGAAUUAUUGGGCGUAAAGCGCGUGUAGGCGGUCCGGUAAGUCCGCUGUGAAAGUCGAGGGCUCAACCCUCGAAUGCCGGUGGAUACUGUCGGGCUAGAGUACGGAAGAGGCGAGUGGAAUUCCUGGUGUAGCGGUGAAAUGCGCAGAUAUCAGGAGGAACACCGGUGGCGAAGGCGGUUCUCUGGGCAUGUCCUGACGCUGAGGAGCGAAAGUGUGGGGAGCGAACAGG